AUGAGCUCCACGCAGUUCAACAAGGGCCCCUCAUAUGGGCUGUGGGCUGAGGUCAAGAACCAGCUUCUGUCCAAAUAUGACCCCCAGAAGGAGGCAGAGCUCCACAGCUGGAUCAAGGGACUCACAGGACUCUUCAUCGGUCCCGACUUCCAGAAGGGCCUGAAGGACGGGAUUAUCUUAUGCGCACUCAUGAACAAGCUACAGCCAGGCUCAGUCCCCAAGAUCAAUCACUCCAUGCAGAACUGGCACCAGCUAGAAAACCUCUCCAACUUCAUCAAGGCCAUGGUCAGCUACGGAUGAACCCCAUGGACCUGUUCGAGGCCAACGACCUGUUUGAGAGUAGAAGUAUGACACAGCUGCAGGUGUCUCUUCUCGCCCUGGUGAGGAAGGCCAAGACUAAGGAGCUGCAGAGCAGGGUGGACACUGGCAUCAAGUACUUGGAGAAGCAGGAGUGGAACUGUGACAACCCCCCUUGAAGGCUGGCCAGUGCAUCCUCGGGCUGCAGAUGGGCACCAACAAAUGCGCCAGCCAGUCAGGGAUGACCGCAUACGGCAUGAGGAGGCAUUUCUACGACCCCAACAACUACAUCCUGCCCCCCAUGGACCACUCCAUCAUCAGUGUCCAGAUGCGUAUAAACAAGUGUGUCAGCCAGGUGGCCAUGACGGCUCCUGGGACGCAGCGGCACAUCUCUGACACCAAGCUGGGAACCGACAAGUGUGGUAACUCCUCCAUAUCCCUGCAGAUGGGUUAGACAUAGGACACCAACCAGAGUAGCCAGGUCUUGGCCUGGGCCAGCAGAUAUACGACCCCAAGUACUGCCCGCAAGGCACAGUGGGGGCUCCCUCAGGCGCCGGCGACUGCCUGGGCCCCGGGGAGGUCCCUGAAUAUCCCCCUUACUACCAGGAGGAAGCUGACUAU
rnacentral:lncRNA from 1 species